rnacentral:rRNA from 1 species
UACGAAGGGGGCGAGCGUUGUUCGGAUUUACUGGGCGUAAAGGGCGCGUAGGCGGCGUGACAAGUCACUUGUGAAAUCUCCGGGCUUAACUCGGAACGGUCAAGUGAUACUGUCGUGCUAGAGUACAGAAGGGGCAACUGGAAUUCUCGGUGUAGCGGUGAAAUGCGUAGAUAUCGAGAGGAACACCUGCGGCGAAGGCGGGUUGCUGGGCUGAUACUGACGCUGAGGUGCGAAAGCCAGGGGAGCGAACGGG